CAGCCGCCACGGGAAUACGUAGGGUGCGAGCGUUAAUCGGAAUUACUGGGCGUAAAGCGUGCGCAGGCGGUUUUGUAAGACAGGCGUGAAAUCCCCGGGCUCAACCUGGGAAUGGCGCUUGUGACUGCAAAGCUAGAGUGCGGCAGAGGGGGAUGGAAUUCCGCGUGUAGCAGAGAAAUGCGUAGAUAUGCGGAGGAACACCGAUGGCGAAGGCAAUCCCCUGGGCCUGCACUGACGCUCAUGCACGAAAGCGUGGGGAGCAAACAGGAUUAGAUACCCGUGUAGUCCCUGUCUCUUAUAC
rnacentral:rRNA from 1 species